rfam:Lachnoclostridium sp. YL32, complete genome.
UCCUUGGUAGCUCAGUUGGAAGAGCAACCGGCUGUUAACCGGUGGGUCGCAGGUUCGAGUCCUGUCCUUGGAG